CUAACAACACACAACAUUCCAGGAAUGUACUACCAAAGUUCUAUCAAUAUUUGAAUGUCCUGGACAUUUAGGGAACAUUCGGUGAACAUCUGUUUAAAUUAUUCCUGGAAUGUUACCAUAAGACAUUCUGUGAACAUACUACCAAUGUUCCUAUAUUUUAAGUUGCGAAAUAAUACAUACGUGUAAGAGAUACAACAUUACUUAUAACAUACCAGACAAACUAAGUGACAUUUUAGGCCUACAGUGCAAUAAUAUGUCAAAUUUAAAGAGUUUCCCAAGAUUAUAAACAUACAAAUGUAAUAAAAAUUAUUGUUCGCGAAUAUUCAAUUUGGAAUGCGAUUUUGUUAAUAAAAAAAAUACUUAUAACUUAUGCAAAACCCAAGAGAGGCAUUUAUAUUUAUUUCUUUUGCGUUCAUUUUCAAAUUCGCCGUGCAUAUAUUUUUGUGCAUGGCGCUUGAGAGGGCAUCACGUGACUAAAAACGACCAACCAACGACCUCGCUUCGGCCAUCUUGGCAUCUUCAUCUUGGCGACCUUGCCUUGCCGUGGAUUGUUUUUAGUUGUUUGUAUUAUUUGUGCUUUUUAAGAAUAUUUUUUUAAUUCGGAUACUUUUAUAAUAGCUUGAAUAGUAUUAUUAACAUAGUGCAUAAAAUGGUGUCCUGUUUUUAACGCAGUUGGAGUAGCAGAAACAAAUGUAGAUAAAAAAAUCUGCAGGAACGUUUCAAUUAUGACAGAAGCUCAAAACAAAUGACUGUGAAUGAAAAGCCCUAUUAAAAGCUUUCCAGAAGAUCCUGCGAAGAAGACAUGAAGUAUAGAUCAGAUUUGUUAAUAGAGGAGUAUGUUCAAAACACUUUUUAGAAAAAGAUAUUGACAGAACUUCACUUUCAUCUGUUCGUUUGAGAGACUGUGCUGUUCCAAUAGCUUAUGUCACACAGAAUCAGCUGAGAGAAGUGGUCUACAAAAAACCAGAAAGGAAACGGAAUAUGUGGCUACGAAAAGCAAAAGAAAGGUUUACAAAGCAAAUGUGACACAUUUUUUUAUAAUAUUUAGGAAUGUCAGCAAAUUACAUUAAAA